UACGUAGGCAGCGAGCGUUGUUCGGAGUUACUGGGCGUAAAGCGUGCGUAGGCGGCGGCCCAAGUCUGGUGUGAAAUCUCCCGGCUUAACCGGGAGGGUGCGCCGGAAACUGGGUUGCUUGAGUGCCGGAGAGGCAGGCGGAAUUCCUGGUGUAGCGGUGAAAUGCGUAGAUAUCAGGAGGAACACCCGUGGUGUAGACGGCCUGCUGGACGGCCACUGACGCUGAGGCACGAAAGCGUGGGGAGCAAACAGG
rnacentral:rRNA from 1 species